CCCUGCCCUUUGUACACACCGCCCGUCGCUACUACCGAUUGAGUGGUUUAGUGAGGCUCACGGACUGCGAGCGGCACACGGCGCCUCCGGGCGUCGCGCCGCGAGCGGAAAGUGAGACGAACUUGAUC
rnacentral:rRNA from 1 species